rnacentral:ncRNA from 29 species
GGAAGUGAGGUGAAAUUCCUCCACUGUGCCGCAACUGUAAAGUCAGAAAAC